rnacentral:rRNA from 1 species
UAUAGUAUCAGAUGGGUAAAAGAAACGUCCUAGUUAAUUUAUUAUAGGUGUAUAAACUUGAUAUUACUGGAUAAUUAGUUCUGAGCAGAUAUUGAAUUUAGAUAUAUAUAUCACUAUUUUAUAGUGAUGUUUAUAUAUUCUUAUAAAAGACAUUUUACAAUGGAGAGUUUGAUCCUGGCUCAGGAUGAACGCUAGCUAUAGGCUUAACACAUGCAAGUCGAGGGGAAACGGCAUUAUGUGCUUGCACAUUUUGGACGUCGACCGGCGCACGGGUGAGUAUCGCGUAUCCAACCUGCCCUUUACUUGGGGAUACCCCGUUGAAAGACGGCCUAAUACCCGAUGUAAUUCAUUGAUGGCAUCAGAUAUGAAUAAAAGAUUUAUCGGUAAAGGAUGGGGAUGCGUCUGAUUAGCUUGUUGGUGAGGUAAAGGCUCACCAAGGCAACGAUCAGUAGGGGUUCUGAGAGGAAGGUCCCCCACAUUGGAACUGAGACACGGUCCAAACUCCUACGGGAGGCAGCAGUGAGGAAUAUUGGUCAAUGGGCGCAAGCCUGAACCAGCCAAGUAGCGUGCAGGAAGACGGCCCUAUGGGUUGUAAACUGCUUUUAUACGAGAAUAAUUUGAUGCACGUGUGCGUUAUUGCAUGUAUCGUAUGAAUAAGGACCGGCUAAUUCCGUGCCAGCAGCCGCGGUAAUACGGAAGGUCCAGGCGUUAUCCGGAUUUAUUGGGUUUAAAGGGAGUGUAGGCGGUUUGUUAAGCGUGUUGUGAAAUUUAGGUGCUCAACAUUUAACUUGCAGCGCGAACUGUCAGACUUGAGUACACGCAACGUAUGCGGAAUUCAUGGUGUAGCGGUGAAAUGCUUAGAUAUCAUGAAGAACUCCGAUUGCGAAGGCAGCAUACGGGAGUGUAACUGACGCUUAAGCUCGAAGGUGCGGGUAUCGAACAGGAUUAGAUACCCUGGUAGUCCGCACAGUAAACGAUGGAUGCCCGCUGUUAGCGCCUGGCGUUAGCGGCUAAGCGAAAGCAUUAAGCAUCCCACCUGGGGAGUACGCCGGCAACGGUGAAACUCAAAGGAAUUGACGGGGGCCCGCACAAGCGGAGGAACAUGUGGUUUAAUUCGAUGAUACGCGAGGAACCUUACCCGGGCUUGAAUUGCAGAGGAAUUAUUUAGAGAUAAAUAUGCCCUUCGGGGUCUCUGUGAAGGUGCUGCAUGGUUGUCGUCAGCUCGUGCCGUGAGGUGUCGGCUUAAGUGCCAUAACGAGCGCAACCCCUUUUCUUAGUUGCCAUCAGGUAAUGCUGGGCACUCUGGGAACACUGCCACCGCAAGGUGUGAGGAAGGUGGGGAUGACGUCAAAUCAGCACGGCCCUUACGUCCGGGGCUACACACGUGUUACAAUGGCCGGUACAGAGGGAUGGUGUAAUGUAAAUUGCAUCAAAUCUUAAAAGCCGGUCCCAGUUCGGACUGAGGUCUGCAACCCGACCUCACGAAGCUGGAUUCGCUAGUAAUCGCGCAUCAGCCAUGGCGCGGUGAAUACGUUCCCGGGCCUUGUACACACCGCCCGUCAAGCCAUGAAAGCCGGGGGUGCCUGAAGUUCGUAACCGUAAGGAGCGACCUAGGGCAAAACUGGUAAUUGGGGCUAAGUCGUAACAAGGUAGCCGUACCGGAAGGUGCGGCUGGAACACCUCCUUUCU